rnacentral:lncRNA from 1 species
AUAAAACAGCUUUGGGCCACAUAUAACAUUACACUUAUAUACAACAUGUAUAUUUAGAACACGACAACCCUAAACCUAAUUAAUUUCGUCCUCUUUACACAGCCGCCUCAACUGGUACAUCUUUAUGGCAUGACUCCGCUACCAUGUCCUUGGCCCCAUACAUGACGUCACCGCCACCGCCACCUGAUCCUUGUCCAUUACCGUCAUCAUCAACCUCCCCUAUACAUUAGCCCUAAAAUCUUGCAUCUCGAAUCUUGUCUUCGGCAUUAAUAUCCGCCAACCAGCAGCAACUGAAGUUACACCACCAGCCGUCAGGCAGCAACCAGCAACUACUUUUUCUGCAACACUACUGAUAACUUAGGCAACAGUCGGCGACGGUCUAACCAUCUCCAACAAUUAUCCCCGAAGCAGCAUCUAGCAUGUAAGAAAAUUUUUGUUCUUGUUUUAGAAUCUGUAGCACUUUUAGUUUGUGGUACCGAUUUCCGUUUGUAUUUGUGUUAGUAAUUAGAAAAUUUACUUGUGUUUUGUAUUUUUAAAAAGGAAUAAAUUUGUCUAUUUUUCUGUUUCUGAUCAAAACUGGGUUUUUAAAUGUAUCAUGCUCUCUUCAAAAUACUCUUUCUUAUAAAGUUUCAUUAUUUAGUAAUCAAGGUUCGAUUAUAAGAAUCUAUGAACAUGGAUGUUUCGAUUUUGUAUCUAAGAUUGGGUUGUAAAGGCUUCCAUCAAACAAUAAGAACUAAUUUACAUGUGUCUUUGUUUCGUUCCUAUAUACUUUGUUUUUAAUGUAUUCUCUAUCUCGAAGUUUAUAACUUGCUUGUGAUUUAAUGAUUUAGUUAAUAAUAAAAACAGACUUCUUACAUCCUUGAUUUACCUCUAUUACAACAUUGCAAAAAUAAAGAUACAUAAGUACUACUUUUGCAAUAUUCUUUCAUUAUUAAUAGACAUGGAAGAUUAUCCCACAUUCUCACGUAUGAAAUUGAUUCUAAAAAACUUCAAAGGGAAAAAAUCCAAACACAAAUGCUGGAUAUAUUCUUUUACAAAAUUGAAUUUACACACAUAUCAAACAUAAUUUACAUUGUGCAUUUUAUAUAUGUUAAUACUUGAUACAAAUCUGCAAAGAUACGUUAUUAUGAACACUUUAAGUAACAGCAAUAACCACUCUCUUACAAUACAAAUUACAAAAAUCACAAAUUUGAAUUUUUUUUUACAGAAAAGAGCUAUUGAUGAAACAAAUACAAGUUGAAUCUAGAUACAACGUUCACGACAUGAAACAAAGAGAAGGAAUGGUAUCCGAUUUCAACAAAACUACAGAAUGGUGCUAUUGAUUUGAUGUGAGGCAUUAGAAACAUCCGGGGAGUUAUAAGUGGGGGAGAGACUUGUAGUUAAGAUGAUUAAAGAAAUGACUGUGAAAGUGGCUUUAUUUAUUCAUGCUAAGAUGAAGUUUGAUUGGUUGAAUUUUGUUCACACGGAUGAAUAACUUAAUGAAUGGUUUUGAUGGUAUUAAGAUAAAAUUAAGGGUCAAGAUGUCCUCUACGUGUGAGAGUCAAUGUGCUUUCAAGAGAUGAAUUUGAUUGGUUGCUUUUGUUUCACAUGGAUACUCAUCUUACACCAUUUAUUUUGAAAUCAAAGGUCAUAAUGUCUUCUCCUUGUUUUUUAAGACAUUGUCUUAAAAUGGUGGGGCCCUUAAUUAUAUACCCUUUAUAGAUG